rnacentral:rRNA from 1 species
ACUCCUGCGGGAGGCAGCAGUGGGGAAUAUUGGACACUGGGCGCAAGCCUGAUCCAGCCAUGCCGCGUGAGUGAUGAAGGCCCUAGGGUUGUAAAGCUCUUUCACCGGUGAAGAUAAUGACGGUAACCGGAGAAGAAGCCCCGGCUAACUUCGUGCCAGCAGCCGCGGUAAUACGAAGGGGGCUAGCGUUGUUCGGAUUUACUGGGCGUAAAGCGCACGUAGGCGGACUAUUAAGUCAGGGGUGAAAUCCCGGGGCUCAACCCCGGAACUGCCUUUGAUACUGGUAGUCUUGAGUUCGAGAGAGGUGAGUGGAAUUCCGAGUGUAGAGGUGAAAUUCGUAGAUAUUCGGAGGAACACCAGUGGCGAAGGCGGCUCACUGGCUCGAUACUGACGCUGAGGUGCGAAAGCGUGGGGAGCAAACAGGAUUAGAAACCCGUGUAGUCCCA